rnacentral:rRNA from 1 species
UGCCAGCCGCCGCGGUAAUACGGAGGGGGUUAGCGUUGUUCGGAAUUACUGGGCGUAAAGCGCGCGUAGGCGGAUUGGAAAGUUAGAGGUGAAAUCCCAGGGCUCAACCCUGGAACUGCCUUUAAAACUCCCAGUCUUGAGUUCGAGAGAGGAGAGUGGAAUUCCUAGUGUAGAGGUGAAAUUCGUAGAUAUUAGGAGGAACACCAGUGGCGAAGGCGACUCUCUGGGCCAAUACUGACGCUGAGGUUCGAAAGCGUGGGUAGCGAACAGGAUUAGAUA